AAUCAGUAUCGAGUGGUCACUUUCAGCGCUGAGGAGUGUUGAGAAAAGAACCCUUGUAGGGGAGGCUAGCCUUCUUCUGAUAUCAACCACAGAGAUGUAAAUUGCGUGAUAUUAGUUUGAAC